UCCAGACUCCUACGGGAGGCAGCAGUGGGAGAUAUUGCACAAUGGGGGAAACCCUGAUGCAGCGACGCCGCGUGGGUGAAGAAGUAUUUCGGUAUGUAAAGCCCUCUCAGCAGGGAAGAAAGAAGACGGUACCUGACUAAGAAGCCCCGGCUAACUACGUGCCAGCAGCCGCGGUAAUACGUAGGGGGCGAGCGUUAUCCGGAUUCACUGGGUGUAAAGGGAGCGUAGACGGCCGUGCAAGCCAGGAGUGAAAGCCCGGGGCCCAACCCCGGGACUGCUCUUGGAACUGUGCGGCUGGAGUGCGGGAGGGGCAGGCGGAAUUCCUGGUGUAGCGGUGAAAUGCGUAGAUAUCAGGAGGAACACCGGCGGCGAAGGCGGCCUGCUGGACCGCGACUGACGUUGAGGCUCGAAAGCGUGGGGAGCGAACAGGAUUAGAUACCCGCGUA
rnacentral:rRNA from 1 species